GUUGCACACCGUUAGAACCCAGCGUUGUCCUGACAGUGCUGUGUUGGGUGUAGGAUGUGUGCUACAGAAACGCAGGGCCUUUUUCAACCACUUCCUCUGUCAAUGGGGUAAGAUGGAGGAAUCGGCUAUAAGCCUUGCUACAUAA
ensembl:snoRNA SNORA62 Small nucleolar RNA SNORA62/SNORA6 family